AAACCAACAGGGAUUGCCCUAGUAACGGCGAGUGAAGCGGCAACAGCUCAAAUUUGAAAUCUGGCCUUCGGGUCCGAGUUGUAAUUUGUAGAGGAUGCUUUUGGCGCGGUGCCUUCCGAGUUCCCUGGAACGGGACGCCUUAGAGGGUGAGAGCCCCGUACGGUUGGACACCAAGCCUCUGUAAAGCUCCUUCGACGAGUCGAGUAGUUUGGGAAUGCUGCUCUAAAUGGGAGGUAAAUUUCUUCUAAAGCUAAAUAUUGGCCAGAGACCGAUAGCGCACAAGUAGAGUGAUCGAAAGAUGAAAAGCACUUUGAAAAGAGGGUUAAAUAGCACGUGAAAUUGUUGAAAGGGAAGCGUUUGCGACCAGACCUUUUCCUAGCGGAUCAUCCGGUGUUCUCACCGGUGCACUUUGCUAGGUUGAGGCCAGCAUCGGUUUUCGUAGGGGGAUAAAAGCCUGGGGAACGUAGCUCCCUCGGGAGUGUUAUAGCCCCUCGCAUAAUACCCUUACGGGGACCGAGGACCGCGCUUCGGCAAGGAUGCUGGCAUAAUGGUCGUCAACGAC
rnacentral:rRNA from 2 species